AUUGAACGCUGGCGGCAUGCUUUACACAUGCCAGUCGAACGGUAACAGGCCGCAAGGUGCUGACGAGUGGCGAACGGGUGAGUAAUGCAUCGGAACGUGCCCAGUCGUGGGGGAUAACUACUCGAAAGAGUAGCUAAUACCGCAUACGAUCUAUGGAUGAAAGCGGGGACCGUAAGGCCUCGCGCGAUUGGAGCGGCCGAUGUCAGAUUAGGUAGUUGGUGGGGUAAAGGCUCACCAAGCCAACGAUCUGUAGCUGGUCUGAGAGGACGACCAGCCACACUGGGACUGAGACACGGCCCAGACUCCUACGGGAGGCAGCAGUGGGGAAUUUUGGACAAUGGGCGCAAGCCUGAUCCAGCAAUGCCGCGUGCAGGAAGAAGGCCUUCGGGUUGUAAACUGCUUUUGUACGGAACGAAACGGCUCUGGUUAAUACCCGGGGCUAAUGACGGUACCGUAAGAAUAAGCACCGGCUAACUACGUG
rnacentral:rRNA from 1 species